UACGUAGGGGGCAAGCGUUGUCCGGAAUCAUUGGGCGUAAAGCGCGUGUAGGCGGCUUGGUAAGUCCGCUCUGAAAGCCCGGGGCUCAACCCCGGGAGGCGGGUGGAUACUGUCAAGCUCGAGUCCGGAAGAGGCGAGUGGAAUUCCUGGUGUAGCGGUGAAAUGCGUAGAGAUCUGGAGGAACACCGAUGGCGAAGGCAGCCUUCUGGGCCAACACUGACGCUCAUGCACGAAAGCGUGGGGAGCAAACAGG
rnacentral:rRNA from 1 species